rnacentral:rRNA from 1 species
CCUACGGGUGGCAGCAGUGAGGAAUUUUGGUCAAUGGGCGCGAGCCUGAUCCAGCCAAGUAGCGUGUAGGAUGACUGCCCUACGGGUUGUAAACUUCUUUUUUAAAGGAAUAAAGUGAGUCACGUGUGCCUUUUUGUAUGUACUUUAUGAAUAAUGAUCGGCUAACUCCGUGCCAGCAGCCGCGGUAAUACGGAGGGUCCGAGCGUUAACCGGAUUUAUUGGGUUUAACGGGAGCGUAGAUGGGUUGUUAAGUCAGUUGUGAAAGUUUGCGGCUCAACCGUAAAAUUGCAAUUGAUACUGGCAGCCUUGAGUACAGUUGAGGUAGGCGGAAUUCGAGGUGUAGCAGUGAAAUGCUUAGAUAUCACGAAGAACUCCGAUUGCGAAGGCAGCUUACUAAACUGCCACUGACAUUGAUGCUCGAAAGUGUGGGUAUCAAACAGGAUUAGAUACCCCUGUAGUC